rnacentral:rRNA from 1 species
GACGAACGCUGGCGGCGUGCCUAAUACAUGCAAGUAGAACGCUGAAGCGAGGAGCUUGCUCUUCUUGGAUGAGUUGCGAACGGGUGAGUAACGCGUAGGUAACCUGCCUUGUAGCGGGGGAUAACUAUUGGAAACGAUAGCUAAUACCGCAUAACAAUGGAUGACACAUGUCAUUUAUUUGAAAGGGGCAAUUGCUCCACUACAAGAUGGACCUGCGUUGUAUUAGCUAGUAGGUGAGGUAAUGGCUCACCUAGGCGACGAUACAUAGCCGACCUGAGAGGGUGAUCGGCCACACUGGGACUGAGACACGGCCCAGACUCCUACGGGAGGCAGCAGUAGGGAAUCUUCGGCAAUGGAGGCAACCCUGACCGAGCAACGCCGCGUGAGUGAAGAAGGGUUUCGGAUCGUAAAGCUCUGUUGUAAGUCAAGAACGGGUGUGAGAGUGGAAAGUUCACACUGUGACGGUAGCUUACCAGAAAGGGACGGCUAACUACGUG